CCUACGGGGGGCAGCAGUGGGGAAUAUUGCACAAUGGGGGAAACCCUGAUGCAGCGACGCCGCGUGAAGGAAGACGUAUUUCGGUAUGUAAACUUCUAUCAGCAGGGAAGAAAAUGACGGUACCUGACUAAGAAGCCCCGGCUAACUACGUGCCAGCAGCCGCGGUAAUACGUAGGGGGCACGCGUUAUCCGGAUUUACUGGGUGUAAAGGGAGCGUAGGCGGGGAUGCAAGUCAGAAGUGAAAGCCCGGGGCUCAACUCCGGGACUGCUUUUGAAACUGUGUUGCUUGAGUGCAGGAAGGGGAGGUGGAAUUCCUGGUGUAGCGGUGAAAUGCGUAGAUAUUAGGAGGAACACCAGUGGCGAAGGCGGCUGACUGGACUGUAAAUGACGCUGAGGCUCGAAAGUGUGGGGAGCAAACAGGAUUAGAUACCCCAGUAGUC
rnacentral:rRNA from 1 species